UGAGUGUCAGGGAUCAGAAGGGGUGAACAAGACCCUUAGAC
rnacentral:ncRNA from 1 species